GUUACUGUGGCAGCGGGCAUCCCAGGGUGCGUGCGGUGCAGGGUGUGCAAGAAAAUGCGAGGUUGGAGGAGGAGGUCUGUGUGUUUUUAAGGAUUGUGUGGAGUUGUGAGGUGGCGGAGUAGGGCGGGAGAAAGAGCGGAGAGUGUGAACUGCAGUUUCCGCUUUGCGGAAGGUUGCAGCUGCUGCUGCAGAUUGGCACCUGCCAUUCCCCCAAAACCAUGGGAAACUGCCUCGAGACAGGGCUAUCUUGCCUUUCUGGUGUCUUUUCAUUUGAGGGUGAGAGGAUGAAAUGGAAAAUUGGGCGGUGAUAGCAGCGUUUUCUUUGAUCAAACUGAAAAGAGUACGGAGCAAAGUAGAAUCCUGUCCUGAAACGUGGAAACGCACAACAAAUAACAAUGAGGAGGAGAAGGAGAUUAGGAUCAUUUUAUCAGUCCCCUAUUUCUGCGGACACUCAUUUAUAUUUUUUUUCUAGCAAAAGUCUGGAGGAAGUAUUACUGAAAUAGGGGGAGGGGCCAAGCGGCGACUAAGGAACCUGAAAUGACAGAGAUUUGUUCGUACAUUCCCCGCCCCACCCCCAAAAAACCUCGUUUAAUUGUAGUCAUUGGUUGUCUUUGGUUUCUCAUAACAUUCAAACUUCUCAUGUUUUUUUCCCCUUCACUGAAUCUGAGCUUUUGCUCAUAUUUCCCUUGAUGAAAUAAUUGCCGGUUUAGUAUACAGUUGGGAGUGCAUCGGUCUUUAUUUCCUAUCCAGCUUUUCUAUGGCAGGAUGUAACUUCAUAAAAAGAAACACUUUGGCUUCCUGAUUUUCUUUAUAGGUAAUUCCUGUUUACUGAAAGUUCUGCUUUAAGGCAUACUCAGAAUCGCUCUCCUUAAUGAUUUUGGCAAGAACCCUACCUUCCCCCUCAGCAAAUCUAAUGUUCUAAGAAAUUAUAAGUGAAUCAGCUUCUGCUUCUGUGCUCAAAAUCUAUAAUAUUGCCUUUCCGGCCCACUACUUGUUUUUACUGUAGUUUAAAAAAAUCUGUCCCUUUUGCUGACUUUUUUCUUUUUGUACACACUACUUUUUAAGAAAAGUUGCUAACAUUUAUUAAAUGAUCUGCAUCCUAUGGAGGAGGAAACUGAGGAAAAGAAAAGUUAAGUAACUAACUCAAGGUGACAGUAUACAGAGGUUACUGGAUUUUUUUCCUUUUCCUUAAACAAAAUGACAAAUUAAACCAUGUUUAAAUUGUGUCUGGAAAUUCCAUAAUCCCAAGAAAUGGAACCAUAGCUAGGACUAGGAUAUUUCCAUACAAGAGAAAGCCAGCUUCAUUUAGCCAAGAAUUGCUUAUCUCAAGAGCAGAGGCUCUUCGUCCUCAGGGCUAGUCCGCAAUGGCUGCUCUGGGUUUAUUUGGAUUGGGAUGCAGAGGCAGUUGGGUAGAGCAAUGGUUCUCAAACUUUGACAUGUAUCAGAAAUAACUGAAGGGGCUUGCUUAAACAUGAAUUGCUGUGUUUAACCACCUGAGGUUCUGAUUUAGGGGGUUUGGGAUGGUGCCCAAGAAUUUGCACAUUUAGCAAGUUCCCAGGUGAUGUUGAUACAGCCAAUCUGGAGACAGCACCUUGAGGACCAUAGUUCUAGAAUUGGGCUGUCCGAGGAGGUAGCCACUAGCCACAUGACUGUUAAGUACUUGAAAUGUACUUCAGUAUUGGAAAUUUGGCUACUGCAAAUUAGGAUGUGCUGUAAAUGUAAAAGAUGUAUUAGAUAUUUCAGAUCAAGCAUGAAAAAUGGAAUGUAAAGUAUCCCAUUUUAAUAUUGAUUACAUGUUAAAAUGAUAGUCUAAAUGUACUGUGCUAAAUAAAACAUUAUUAGAGUUAAUUAAAUUGUUUCUUUUAUUUUUUAAAUGCGUCUACUAGAAAAUUUUAAAUAACCUAUGUGGCUCAAGUUAUAUCUCUAUCGGGCAGCACUGGUCUGGAGUUGUUUCUGAUUCCAGCUCCACAGUUCACUGUUGGGAGCGCUUUGAUGAAGCAAGUCGCUUAUCCUUUUUGAACCUUAGUGUCCUCAUACGUAAAAUGGGAAAAAUAGUAAAACUGUUCUCAAACUAUUCCGGACAGACUAAGUGUCAUAUGCUCUCAAGAAAAAAACACUCUUAGGCUAUAUAUCUCCUUGAAAUCUCAUGUUUAGUUCAAUCUAUCUUACGCUAAAUCUGGAAAUCUGGAGUAGGUGGGAUAAGUCCUCUCUCUCUCUCUCUCUCUCUCUCUCCCUCUCUCCUCCUCUCUCUCUGUUUCUUCACGAGAAGUCACUUCUUAGUGUCUGCAACUGUAAUAGCUUCUUGAUCUAAUUAGUGGACAAAGAGACAAUGUGAUUAAAAUGACAGAUUAACCUGCUCCCAUCAAGACUUCAUCCUGUUUUUUGUAAUUCUUUGCUUACCUACUUUUUUAUCUGUUGCCCGUCUUAAAUGUAGCUUUAAAUGGAUUUGGACUCCUCAGGAGGAUUUGCUAAUGGUCUGAACAAGUGAAUAGAGCACUGCAAAAGAUUUGUAUACUAUUCCCGUUUUGAUCUUUUCUGCCAAUCUCUACCAAGAACUUGAUUAAAGAUCUGAGACGCUGUCCCUGGCCUACCCAAGUUUUAAUCUUCUCUUAAAUGUCAACUCAACAACAACACAUAUGGCAAGGGUAAAAACCCUCAAUGUAGAGUUUUUACAAAUCAACAAGAAAAUAAAGAUGAACGUUCGAACUGAAAAAUAUGUGCAACAGAAACAAAACCCAAAAUGGCCAGUAAAUGUGAUAGGAGGUUCAACAGGAAAAUGGAUAUCCAUACCCUACUAGUGGAAUUUUUAAUUGGUACAACAUUGCUGGAAGGCAGUUUAAUAGCAUUUGUGAAAAGCCUUUUAAAAAAAUGUAUACAUUUGACUUAGCAAUUUUACUUCUGGGAAAGAAUGGAACAAAUUUGCAAAUACACAAACACAAGCGCACAUAUCAUGGGAAUAAUUGGAACAUUGUUUAUAAUAGUGAAACACUGAGAAAAGUUCAUUGAUAAGGGAUUUGGUGUGUAAAUUAUGUUAUAUCUAUAAUAGAAUACUAUAUAGCCAUAAAAUUAUAACAUUGCCAUUUAUUUAUUUAUUUGUGUGGAAAGAUGUUCACAACAAAUUAAAAUUAAGAAGAGCUAAUAAAUUAGUAUUGUGUUUGUAUGUGUACAUAUGUAUGUUUAUAUAUAUGUAUUAAUACACAUAUAUUUCCAUUAUUUUUAAACUUAUUUAUAUGUGUAAAUUUUCAUAGAAAGCAAUACAUACACAAAAAUUUUAAUGAUCAUUUCCUCCAAGUAAUCAUAUUUUAGGUCAUUGUUAUUUUAUUUUUUAUCUUUUUCUUAAUUUCCUCAACUUUUUACAUUGGGCAUUUAUUAUGUUAUUAGAAAAAACAAUAAAAACUUAUUUUAAACUU
rnacentral:lncRNA from 1 species